rnacentral:rRNA from 1 species
GUGAGGAAUAUUGCGCAAUGGAGGCAACUCUGACGCAGCCAUGCCGCGUGCAGGAAGAAGGCGCUACGCGUUGUAAACUGCUUUUAACCGGGAAGAAACCCCAGGACGUGUCCUGGGUUGACGGUACCGGAGGAAUAAGCACCGGCUAACUUCGUGCCAGAAGCCGCGGUAAUACGAAGGGUGCAAGCGUUAUCCGGAUUCAUUGGGUUUAAAGGGUGCGUAGGCGGAGCGUUAAGUCAGUGGUGAAAUCCUGAAGCUUAACUGUAGAAUUGCCAUUGAUACUGGCGCUCUUGAGUGCGCUUGAAGUGGGCGGAAUGUGCCGUGUAGCGGUGAAAUGCUUAGAUAUGGCACAGAACACCAAUUGCGAAGGCAGCUCACUAAGGCGAUACUGACGCUGAGGCACGAAAGCGUGGGGAUCGAACAGGAUUAGAAACCCGAGUAGUCC